GCUGCCGCGCGCCCGCCACCGCCGCUCGGCUCCACACCGCCAGCGCAGCCCCGCCACGAGACUCUGACAGCCGCGCGGCCCGCGCUGCUCGGGCGCACAGGGACUGACGGACGGCGGCGGUGGCGAGGGAGGACUGAGGACCGCUGCCCCGCGCCUAGUCCGGGAGGCGUGCAGGUCCAGCGGCGGAUAGAGGUCUCCUCUGAAGCAGCUGGAGCUCAGCGGGCCUCAUCACCCCUGAGGAGCAGGCCAGCCAAGAGAGCAGAAAGGGAUGGCGGGAAGCCCACCAGGGCCCGAGGAGUGACCCUCAGCUACAGCUCCUGGGACCUGGAGGCUCCUAGUCGGGGGACUGCACCAUUGGGGAGACUCAAGAAGAAUUGAUAUGUCAGUCCCUGGUGACAUGUACACGGUGUAAUGACAGUUACCACGGUGGAUCCAGCUGAUAAAGAAGUAGUGCACAACACUUCCCUCCCCUGACAUACACACAGACAUGCACCUGAUCUGAAUGUCCUACACCAAGAUGGACGGAUGACAACAAUAAUAUUUUGAGGCUGGGUAUCAAACCAAGAGAGGAAUAUUUGUCAGAAGAGGUACUAAAAAUCUGAGUAUAGUGGUAACUGAAGCCAAAGAUAUGGAGACCUGAUAUAGGGUAAAAUGAACACAGACUGGGUUCUGAAUCUCUCAGGGAAAGGGGUGCCCAAGUCUGGGGCCCAGUAUUAGGAAACUAGUGUCAUAAUCCCAGGAGCUGUGAAGGGUGGUCUCUUCCAUAAAAUGAGAACCAUGAAUACUCACUCAUCAGUCCAGGGAAUCCAGAGACACAGUCAUCUUCCAAGCACCAGAAGUGAAAAAACAAACAACACAGACAAAAAUUUUACGCAUUAGAAUAUGGAAUCAUAACCUGAUUUCAUACCUAAAACAAUCAAAACUCUCCCAUUAAAGACAGAAAAUCUUGCAUUGAAAAAAGAUUUUUUUUUAAAGGACAAUGUCCAGGUACCUGCAGUGUACAAGACACCCAUACAAUGUAAUGACACACAAAAAUUGAGAGCCAAGGAUUGGGAGAAAAUAUACAGUGCAGAAAACAAGAGAAAGCUGGUGUUUUCAGGGUAUAACAAUUUAGAAAGUAAGGAGAAAAGCAUAAAUAGAGAAAGAUCAUUGAUUAAUGAUAAGAGGGAUAGUCUAUUAGGACAUAUAGCAAUUACAAAUCUUUAUGUACCGAACAACAUAGCCUCAAAAUAACAGAAACAGAAAUUUGAA
rnacentral:lncRNA from 1 species